ACCUUCUGAUCACCACCUUCGACCCGGGCGAUGUCUUUGUCGAGACGCUUCCCUCCGGCUGACAGCGAGGUGUUGUCGUGGAACAGGCAGGGGAAGCUUUCCACGGGCGGAUUUGAAGGCUGACUCGUACAGUGCAGUCGAGCCAAGUCGAUCCCGGUGCGUUUUCUUGGCUGCCCCUCUCUCCUGGAACCGACCGUGGCCGAAUAACAGCGAGAGAUCAGCCGAGACUCACUUCCGCUUCUGGCGCCGCCCCCUCUCACCGCGGCCGCGCCCCCGGAGAGCCACACCUCGGCGUGUGAUUGGUCGGCGUGCCGGCAGCCUCGCCCGAUUUCCUCAUCGUUUCACCGCCGCGCACCAAUAGCACAGCCGUGUCAUCCGUAAGCCCCGCCCACUGAGGUCGGAAUCAUUGUUAAAAAAAGAAAAAGAGAAGCGCUGCUGCUGCACGGUCGUGUGCUUUUCCGAUGCAGCCGGUACCAGGUCGUGAGAAAGCUGAGAUCUGCACCUCCCAUCCCGAAAGGAUGGAAAAGAGCAACCAGGGCCCGAGCGUUUUAAUCUCAGGCUCCCUCCAUGCACGAGUGGGAAUGACCUGCUUUACAGCACGCAUCCCGUGUGCCACAGCAGAAAGGAUUUGAAGAAAAUAAAUAUAUAUAUAAAGGG